GACGAACGCUGGCGGCGUGCCUAAUACAUGCAAGUCGAACGCAGUGGGGACGGGUGAGUAACACGUGGGUAACCUCCCAUCAGAGGGGAUAACACUUGGAAACAGGUGCUAAACCGAUACUGAUGGAUGGACCCGCGGUGCAUUAGCUCGUGGGUGAGGUAACGGCGCACCAAGGCCACGAUGCAUAGUCGACCUGAGUGUGUAAUCGGACACACAUGGACUGGUACAGGGCCCAGACUACUACGGGCGGCAAGAGUAGGGAAUGUUCGGCACUGGACGAAGGUCUGACCGAGCAACGCCGCGUGAGUGAAGAAGGUUUUCGGACAGUACAACUCUGUUGUUAGAGAAGCGGUAUCUAACCAGAAAGCCACGGCUAACUACGUGCCGGCAGCCGCGGUAAUUC
rnacentral:rRNA from 1 species